rnacentral:rRNA from 1 species
UACGUAGGGGGCAAGCGUUGUCCGGAAUCAUUGGGCGUAAAGAGCUCGUAGGCGGUCCGGCAAGUCGGUUGUGAAAACUGGGGGCUCAACCCUCAGAGGCCGACCGAUACUGUCGGGCUAGAGUCCGGAAGAGGCGAGUGGAAUUCCUGGUGUAGCGGUGAAAUGCGCAGAUAUCAGGAGGAACACCAAUGGCGAAGGCAGCUCGCUGGGACGGUACUGACGCUGAGGCGCGAAAGCGUGGGGAGCAAACAGG